rnacentral:lncRNA from 1 species
ACGGACGGACGGACGGACGGACGCUCCUCGCCCCAGAGCGCCCCCGGCGGCGGGGAGGGCGGCGGGGAGGGCGGCCCCGGAGGCGGCGCUGGGGGGCGGGGGGGGGGCGGCUUUGAAAUGAUAGGGUUGAAACGGACACUGAUUUUAAUAGCCAUCUUUCCUCUAUUUUAAAACAACUUUAAACCAAGGAGUGAUACUUCCCUGGAGUUUUUUGGGUUGAGACAUUUUGAAAGUUUUUGUAUGUUUUUUUUAAAGUUUUAUUUAUUAGACACACAGAGAGAGAGGCAGAGACUCAGGCACAGGGAGAAGCAGGCUCCAUGCAGGGAGCCCCACGCGGGACUCGAUCCCGGGACUCCAGGAUCACCCCCAGGCUGCAGGCGGCGCUAAACCGCUGAGUCACCGGGGCUGCCCGAAAGUUUUUGUACGUUGUGGUUAUUUGUGUAUGCACAUCUGUUAACUUUCUAGCUGAUUAGAAACCCUUAAAUUAACCCUUUCGAGCACACUGCAGGAGCGCCGUGGCACUUGAGCAUCGUCUAUCGGUGUGAUCAGCCUCGUCUUCCAGGAGGGGCACCACCGCGGGUGCCCUGCUGAGGGCUUUGCUUCCUGCACGCGGCUGCUGCGUCCUGAAUCUUACCGGGUUCGGAGACGUUGCAGAGCUGUGUUCAGGAGCGUGUUACACACCCCAGAUGAUAGGGCCACCACCAAGUAGGCCGGUUCCUGCGGAGACCCUUUCCAAAGAGCCUGAACGGAUGGGAGUGGAUACUGCAGUUUUCUGCUCUUUCAUGCCUGUCUUAAAGUUUUCUGAAGUACUGACUUCUUCAGCUCAUUGGCAUUUAACUUUAAUCAAGCUGUGCUUUAGCUGCUUUUUGGUGCUGAAGGCCAACUCAUAA